CAAACGGGAGAGUAACACAUUGGUAACCUACCUCGAUCUCGAGCAUAACCCGGAGAAAUCUGGAAUAAUACUCGAUAGUAAUGGGGGGACGCAAGUCAUUCCCAUUUAAAGAUUUACCGGAUCGAGAGGGGCCCAUGACCCAUCAGCUUGUUGGUAAGGUAACUGCUUACCAAGGCUACGACGGGUAGCGGGCGUGAGAGCAUGACUCGUCUCACUGGGACUGAGACACUGCCCAG
rnacentral:rRNA from 1 species